AGAGUUUGAUCCUGGCUCAGAACGAACGUUGGCGGCGUGGUUGAGGCAUGCAAGUCGCACGAGAACGAGGUAGCAAUAUCUCUAGUAAAGUGGCGGAAGGGUGAGGAAUGGGUAGAUAACGUACCCGAAAGAUGGGGAUAACGGCUCGAAAGAGCCGCUAAUACCCGAUGAGACCACGGGGUGGAAACGCCUUGAGGUCAAAGGCCGGGGAUCUUCGGACCUGGCGCUUUCGGAUCGGUCUGCUUCCUACCAGCUAGUUGGCGGGGUAAUGGCCCACCAAGGCUGCGACGGGUACCCGGGCUGAGAGGCUGAUCGGGCACAUCGGCACUGAGACACUGGCCGGACACCUACGGGUGGCUGCAGUUCGGAAUAUUCGGCAAUGGGCGAAAGCCUGACCGAGCGACGCCGCGUGCGGGAUGAAGGCCCUAUGGGUUGUAAACCGCUUUCGCGAGUAGGUAAAUCACAUUUAUCUAACAAAUGGAUGUGUUGAAUAAGGCUCGUAAAGAAGCCCCCGCUAAUCACGUGCCAGCAGCGGCGGUAAUACGUGAGGGGCGAACGUUGUUCGGUGUCACUGGGCUUAAAGGGUGCGUAGGUGGUUGCGUAAGUAAGGUGUGAAAUCCCUCGGCUUACCCGGGGAAUUGCAUUUUAUACUGCGUGGCUUGAGGACUAAAGGGGAAAAGGGAACUCCAGGUGUAGCGGUGAAAUGCGCAGAUAUCUGGGGGAAGGCCGGCGGCGAAGGCGCUUUUCUGGUUAGUACCUGACACUGAGGCACGAAAGCGUGGGGAGCAAACAGGAUUAGAUACCCUAGUAGUCC
rnacentral:rRNA from 1 species